UUGCUCACUUUGGCAGCACAUAUACUAAAAUUGGAACGAUACAGAGAGUAGCAUGGCCCCUGCGAAAGGGUGACAAGCAAAUUUGUGAGCAUUCCAUACUGAUU